rnacentral:rRNA from 1 species
CGACGAGUGGCGAACGGGUGAGUAAUACAUCGGAACGUGUCCGCUCGUGGGGGACAACCAGCCGAAAGGUUGGCUAAUACCGCAUGAGUUCUACGGAAGAAAGAGGGGGACCCGCAAGGGCCUCUCGCGAGCGGAGCGGCCGAUGACUGAUUAGCCGGUUGGUGAGGUAACGGCUCACCAAAGCAACGAUCAGUAGCUGGUCUGAGAGGACGACCAGCCACACUGGGACUGAGACACGGCCCAGACUCCUACGGGAGGCAGCAGUGGGGAAUUUUGGACAAUGGGCGCAAGCCUGAUCCAGCUAUUCCGCGUGUGGGAUGAAGGCCCUCGGGUUGUAAACCACUUUUGUAGAGAACGAAAAGACACCUUCGAAUAAAGGGUGUUGCUGACGGUACUCUAAGAAUAAGCACCGGCUAACUACGUGCCAGCAGCCGCGGUAAUACGUAGGGUGCGAGCGUUAAUCGGAAUUACUGGGCGUAAAGGGUGCGCAGGCGGUUGAGUAAGACAGAUGUGAAAUCCCCGAGCUUAACUCGGGAAUGGCAUAUGUGACUGCUCGACUAGAGUGUGUCAGAGGGAGGUGGAAUUCCACGUGUAGCAGUGAAAUGCGUAGAUAUGUGGAAGAACACCGAUGGCGAAGGCAGCCUCCUGGGACAUAACUGACGCUCAGGCACGAAAGCGUGGGGAGCAAACAGGAUUAGAUACCCUGGUAGUCCACGCCCUAAACGAUGUUAACUAGUUGUUGGGAAGUAAAAUUCUCAGUAACGCAGCCAACGCGAGAAGUUAACCGCCUGGGAAGUACGGUCGCAAGACUAAAACUCAAAGGAAUUGACGGGGACCCGCACAAGCGGUGGAUGAUGUGGAUUAAUUCGAUGCAACGCGAAAAACCUUACCUACCCUUGACAUGUCAGGAAGCUCUUGUAAUGAGAGCGUGCCCGCAAGGGAGCCUGAACACAGG